UCACUCUGGAAAGCAGGCGGCGCGGAAGAUCGCGGCGUCUCACCGAAGGGGUAAGUGCGACGACGGCCCACCGCAUCCGCGGGGGCAUGGCGGCGCACAAUCUUUCAGGUCCGAAGACAGAGCGGG
rnacentral:ncRNA from 2 species